GGCGACAUUUAAUUUCCCCACUCACGGAAUACAGUCGACAAACUGGGAACAGAAUAUCAAAUUUCGUCUAGCUUUUGGCGACUUAUGAUACCCCUUUCACCGGCAAACACUGAAUUAUCGGACAACAUGAAAUCAGGGACUAAAUUCACCAGCAUUCAUGAUCCUCGGACCACCCGCCCCCUACGCACAGCCGAUUUAUAAAUGUUGCAUCUUUCAAUCAGUGUCAAUCCCAAGAAGAACCCUGAUCAGCUCCUGGAAAAAUCAGUGUUCUUGCAGUAUUGUCAGUCAAAUCUCAAGGAAAGGAUCCCAGAAGAGGAACAUUUACAUUAUUUCAGACUUUUUUCUUUCCUGUGUAACAAUGCCUCAAACAGCUAACACAUUUUAUAUAGUAUACAAUACAAUGUGUAUUAAUAACAGUCCAGUUAGAGUGCUGUGUUAUGCAGUAAAAAUACUUAAUUCUUGAUGACAUGUUGGUUUUAUGUUUACAUUAAACGGUAGUUAUAAUAUAUACUAAAGAAACAUAGUGGAUAAUGCCUUGUACAGGAGCAGGAGUAUGACAGUGUAAUAGUACAUGACUGCUGCGUUCAUCCAUGGAAGGAAUCUGUUAUUCGAAAUAAAGCUUUCCAUGAGGACGAAAAA